ACGUAUGGAGCGAGCGUUGUCCGGAAUUAUUGGGCGUAAAGGGUACGCAGGCGGUUUAAUAAGUCGAAUGUUAAAGAUCGGGGCUCAACCCCGUAAAGCAUUGGAAACUGAUAAACUUGAGUAGUGGAGAGGAAAGUGGAAUUCCUAGUGUAGUGGUGAAAUACGUAGAUAUUAGGAGGAAUACCAGUAGCGAAGGCGACUUUCUGGACACAAACUGACGCUGAGGUACGAAAGCGUGGGGAGCAAACAGG
rnacentral:rRNA from 1 species